rnacentral:misc_RNA from 1 species
GAUGAGAACGUAGCGAAAUGCGAUAAGUAAUGUGAAUUGCAGAAUUCAGUGAAUCAUCGAAUCUUCGAACGCACAUUGCGCCCAUUAGUAUUCUAGUGGGCAUGCCUGUUCGAGCGUCAUUAAGUCCACUUAAGCCCUGCUUAGUGUUGGGAGACUGCUCCAGCGGUGCUACCCUGUAGCUACCCUGCAGCUCCUCAAAGACAGCGGCGGAGUUGUGGUAUCCUCUGAGCUUAGUAACUUGUUCUAGCUUUCGAGUACACCACUUCCCCUGCCGUAAAACCCUUAAUUUUUAAUGGUUGACCUCGGAUCAGGUAGGAAUACCCGCUGAACUUAAGCAUAUCAAUAAGCGGAGGA